CAAUAGCGUAUAUUAAAGUUGUUGCGGUUAAAAAGCUCGUAGUUGGAUUUCUGCUGAGAACGACCGGUCCGCCCUUUGGGUGUGUAUCUGGCUCUUUCUUGGCAUCUUCUUGGUGAACGUUGCUGCACUUGACUGUGUGGAGCGCUACCCAGGACUUUUACUUUGAGGAAAUUAGAGUGUUUCAAGCAGGCAUACGCCUUGAAUACAUUAGCAUGGAAUAAUAAGAUAGGACCUCGGUUCUAUUUUGUUGGUUUCUAGAGCUGAGGUAAUGAUUAAUAGGGAUAGUUGGGGGCAUUCGUAUUUAACUGUCAGAGGUGAAAUUCUUGGAUUUGUUAAAGACGGACUACUGCGAAANGANNNGCCAAGGAUGUUUUCAUNGG
rnacentral:rRNA from 1 species